CCUACGGGCGGCAGCAGUGAGGAAUAUUGGUCAAUGGACGCAAGUCUGAACCAGCCAUGCCGCGUGCAGGAAGACGGCUCUAUGAGUUGUAAACUGCUUUUGUACGAGGGUAAACGCAGAUACGCGUAUCUGUCUGAAAGUAUCGUACGAAUAAGGAUCGGCUAACUCCGUGCCAGCAGCCGCGGUAAUACGGAGGAUUCAAGCGUUAUCCGGAUUUAUUGGGUUUAAAGGGUGCGUAGGCGGUCGGAUGAGUUAGAGGUGAAAUCCCGAGGCUCAACUUCGGAAUUGCCUCUGAUACUGGUCGGCUUGAGAGUAGUUGAGGUAGGCGGAAUGUAUGGUGUAGCGGUGAAAUGCUUAGAGAUCAUACAGAACACCGAUUGCGAAGGCAGCUUACCAAGCUACUUCUGACGUUGAGGCACGAAAGCGUGGGGAGCAAACAGGAUUAGAUACCCUUGUAGUC
rnacentral:rRNA from 1 species